rnacentral:rRNA from 1 species
GCUAGUAAUCGCGGAUCAGCAUGCCGCGGUGAAUACGUUCCCGGGCCUUGUACACACCGCCCGUCACACCAUGAGAGUCGAUAACACCCGAAGCCUGUGAGCUAACCGCAAGGAGGCAGCAGUCGAAGGUGGGGUUGAUGAUUGGGGUGAAGUCGUAACAAGGUAGC